UUAAUAUCAUUAGAAAUAAAGCUGUUAGAAAGAUGGUGAAUAUCGAAGUAUGUUCGAGAUUUCAUCGUCGACUACGUUCUUGAUAUUAGUCGAAGAUAAUUUUUGAUAUGAUUUGAUUAGUUAAAGUUUCUUAUUGUGCUGAAGCAUGAUUUUCUUUUUUUUUUUGAUUACCGUGUCAUCGUCCGCUCGCCAGUCGCUCGAUAAUACACAAACAACUACACGUCUACGUGCACAGAAAAAUGAUCUAAGAGGGAUUCGCGUGAUAUUGAUCUCGAUCAUUCGAGAUCUAAAAGCUUACGGCAUCGCAUCAUACACUUGGGAAGAAAGAAAAAAAAAAAAAUUGAAAAGAAAAAGAAAAGAAA